AACGAACGCUGGCGGCAUGCCUAACACAUGCAAGUCGAACGAGACCUUCGGGUCUAGUGGCGCACGGGUGCGUAACGCGUGGGAAUCUACCCUCAGGCUCGGAAUAACUCAGAGAAAUUUGAGCUAAUACCGGAUGAUGACGUAAGUCCAAAGAUUUAUCGCCUGAGGAUGAGCCCGCGUAGGAUUAGGUAGUUGGUGAGGUAAAGGCUCACCAAGCCGACGAUCCUUAGCUGGUCUGAGAGGAUGAUCAGCCACACUGGGACUGAGACACGGCCCAGACUCCUACGGGAGGCAGCAGUGGGGAAUAUUGGACAAUGGGCGAAAGCCUGAUCCAGCAAUGCCGCGUGAGUGAUGAAGGCCUUAGGGUUGUAAAGCUCUUUUACCCGGGAUGAUAAUGACAGUACCGGGAGAAUAAGCUCCGGCUAACUCCGUG
rnacentral:rRNA from 1 species